AGUCGAACGGCAGCACGGACUUCGGUCUGGUGGCGAGUGGCGAACGGGUGAGUAAUACAUCGGAACGUGUCCUGGAGUGGGGGAUAGCCCGGCGAAAGCCGGAUUAAUACCGCAUACGCUCUGUGGAGGAAAGCGGGGGAUCUUUCGGGACCUCGCGCUCAAGGGGCGGCCGAUGGCAGAUUAGCUAGUUGGUGGGGUAAAGGCCUACCAAGGCGACGAUCUGUAGCUGGUCUGAGAGGACGACCAGCCACACUGGGACUGAGACACGGCCCAGACUCCUACGGGAGGCAGCAGUGGGGAAUUUUGGACAAUGGGCGCAAGCCUGAUCCAGCAAUGCCGCGUGUGUGAAGAAGGCCUUCGGGUUGUAAAGCACUUUUGUCCGGAAAGAAAACCUUUGGGCUAAUACCCUGGGGGGAUGACGGUACCGGAAGAAUAAGCACCGGCUAACUACGUGCCAGCAGCCGCGGUAAUACGUAGGGUGCAAGCGUUAAUCGGAAUUACUGGGCGUAAAGCGUGCGCAGGCGGUUCGCUAAGACAGAUGUGAAAUCCCCGGGCUUAACCUG
rnacentral:rRNA from 1 species